rnacentral:rRNA from 1 species
GAUGAACGCUGGCGGCGUGCCUAAUACAUGCAAGUCGAGCGAACGGACGAGAAGCUUGCUUCUCUGAUGUUGGCGGCGGACGGGUGAGUAACACGUGGAUAACCUACCUAUAAGACUGGGAUAACUUCGGGAAACCGGAGCUAAUACCGGAUGAUAUUUUGAACCGCAUGGUUCAAAAGUGAAAGACGGUCUUGCUGUCACUUAUAGAUGGAUCCGCGCUGCAUUAGCUAGUUGGUAAGGUAACGGCUUACCAAGGCAACGAUGCAUAGCCGACCUGAGAGGGUGAUCGGCCACACUGGAACUGAGACACGGUCCAGACUCCUACGGGAGGCAGCAGUAGGGAAUCUUCCGCAAUGGGCGAAAGCCUGACGGAGCAACGCCGCGUGAGUGAUGAAGGUCUUCGGAUCGUAAAACUCUGCUAUUAGGGAAGAACAUAUGUGUAAGUAACUGUGCACAUCUUGACGGUACCUAAUCAGAAAGCCACGGCUAACUACGUG